rnacentral:rRNA from 1 species
GACGAACGCUGGCGGCGUGCUUAACACAUGCAAGUCGAACGGAAAGGCCCUGCUUUUGUGGGGUGCUCGAGUGGCGAACGGGUGAGUAACACGUGAGUAACCUGCCCUUGACUUUGGGAUAACUUCAGGAAACUGGGGCUAAUACCGGAUAGGAGCUCCUGCUGCAUGGUGGGGGUUGGAAAGUUUCGGCGGUUGGGGAUGGACUCGCGGCUUAUCAGCUUGUUGGUGGGGUAGUGGCUUACCAAGGCUUUGACGGGUAGCCGGCCUGAGAGGGUGACCGGCCACAUUGGGACUGGGAUACGGCCCAGACUCCUACGGGAGGCAGCAGUGGGGAAUAUUGCACAAUGGGCGGAAGCCUGAUGCAGCAACGCCGCGUGCGGGAUGACGGCCUUCGGGUUGUAAACCGCUUUCGCCUGUGACGAAGCGUGAGUGACGGUAAUGGGUGAAGAAGCACCGGCUAACUACGUG